CAUCAUCACCAUCACCCUGACUAGUCUUUCAGGCGAUGUGUGCUGGAAGAGAGUCAGAUCUUCCAGUGGUGCAUGAACGCAAAGAGAGCCCCCUUAAUAUCGAGUUCCGGGGGCUUUUUUU
rnacentral:sRNA from 1 species